rnacentral:rRNA from 1 species
UACGUAGGGUGCGAGCGUUUGUCCGGAAUUACUGGGCGUAAAGAGCUCGUAGGCGGCUUAGUAAGUCGGGUGUGAAACCUCCAGGCUCAACCUGGAGACGCCACCCGAUACUGCUGUGGCUAGAGUCCGGUAGGGGAGCGUGGAAUUCCUGGUGUAGCGGUGAAAUGCGCAGAUAUCAGGAGGAACACCAGCGGCGAAGGCGGCGCUCUGGGCCGGUACUGACGCUGAGGAGCGAAAGUGUGGGGAGCGAACAGG